GAUGUGAGAUUGGGCUAUGAAAAUUCAAACUAUGUCCGGCCCGAUAGAAUGAAUGACGUCUCUGACCCUAAUACGGUCGUCUCUUCCACUUCGUGUGACGGUGAUUCGAUGCCGUUUGCGUUUCUUCCCAUGAUCUGAAACGUUCCGAGUAAAGGCUUCGUGUUUAAUCCCUUUGAUCUGAAAAGUGGUGUUUGUUCUGUAUAAAUAUGUAUGCCUCGGUGAUUCUGUGGUGGUACUCUAUACCCGUGUUGAAGGUUUUCUGGUCUGUUCUGAUAUCUCUCUAUGAAGUUGGAAGCUCAAGCCUCUUCUUGCCUCUCGGUGGUGGUUUUGUGCCACCGAAUAUUUCUUGCGGCGAAUAACCCUUGACGGUGGCUUUUUUGCCAAGACUGCAAAUCUUGAACGUGUCAUAAGAUCAGAGCUUUUGGUCAGGGUCAACAGCUAUGGCAAUCUUGGAUUACAAACUUUUAAAAGAAUGUUGUUCAAGCAGAUGUGAAAUAGAAGUAUUCAGACAUUUGGAGUUUUGUAGGAAGCAUGUAGCUCACAAUUUUUCUGUCAUUUUUAAAGGUAAUUUGUUUGUCUUCUCUAAUACAUUGCAUUAUAUGUCUCUUAAUUUUCUCUAGAUUAAUUACUAUUUGGGUCUGGUUAAUAUUUUGUUUUUUAGAUUUGGUGCAGUGCUCAUGAAUAGGUAGAACCUAAUACGGUACUUGAGAGAGGACUCGAAAGCUUGCUUGAUAAGGGUAUUCUCCAGUUUCUUAGUUUAAUGCUCAAAGCUUGACCGUAUGUUGAAAAUCUACAAAUCCGUACAAUACUCUCGCUGACAUCCUUACACAUUCUAAUAUUUCAAAGAAAAUUGAAACCAUAAAGCAGGAAAUUUCAAGCAUAUGCAUGAACGCUAAAUGGUUGGUAGGCAGAUAAGAGAUUAAGCAUAUGUGUUUUGUCUUAGACAGAUCAAAAAUUCUCAAUAUGCUUUUAGGUCAUAUAUUCCCUUGCCAACACAUGAUUUUUAGCAAAAGUAGUAGCAUUUACUCAAAUCAGUUUCUUCUCCUUAUUGAAUAGUGAUCGGUUUCUUACUGACAAAGUGAUCUACUUUAUCGAUGAAGAUGGGUCUUUUGUUCGACUUUGCCAUGUUCAGGUUCAUAGUUACAUGUUUUUCACAUCAUCAGUAAAUGUAUUUUUUUUUUCUUUUUAGUUAAUUCAGAUACUUAAGCUGGCGAAUAAAGAGGACCUACGGCCACUGAAUCAGACAUCUACAUUGUCUCCACCUGGACAUGAAUCCUGGUUGAUUAAGUCUGAUGAAUCUAUACGGUGCAGAGACUUCAUAGAAGAGUUAUUAGCCAAAACGAAGUUGUCCUAGCUAUUAUCCGAGCGAUCUGACGUCCAUGUGUUGGGCUCGAGAACCCAAACCAUCAAAUCCAAUGUUGUGAAUUUCUUAUAAGUAUUCUAUGAACUUUACAUUUUGUGUAGUAUUUCUUUUCAUUCUAUUUAGUUCUACAUAUAAUUUCCCUUGGUUAUGUUCGCUGAGAACAAAUUUGCAAACUGUACAUUUACAAAAUGUAGUUAUCAGUUGUCAUAUUUUUCUUUUUC